UCCGGUUUGUCGCCGGCAGUCUCCUUAGAGUGCCCUUGCGUAGCAACUAAGGACAAGGGUUGCGCUCGUUGCGGGACUUAACCCAACAUCUCACGACACGAGCUGACGACAGCCAUGCAGCACCUGUGCACGGACUCCGAAGAGGAACCGAUGUUUCCACCGGCUUUCCCGUGCAUGUCAAGCCCAGGUAAGGUUCUUCGCGUUGCGUCGAAUUAAACCACAUGCUCCGCUGCUUGUGCGGGCCCCCGUCAAUUCCUUUGAGUUUCAGCCUUGCGGCCGUACUCCCCAGGCGGGGCACUUAAUGCGUUAGCGCCGGCACUCGGAGGGUCGCUCCCCAAGCACCUAGUGCCCAUCGUUUACGGCGUGGACUA
rnacentral:misc_RNA from 1 species